UCUAAUGCUCUUUAGACAAUCCACACACCAAUUCACGACAGUCUUCAUUCAUAUCUACUUCCAACAUAUGAACGACUAUGGCCCGUUCGAAUAAUUCGAUUAUUCUUAAUAAAUUCAAUUAUUCUGGAAGUCAAAACAUGCAAAUGUGAAACACAAGAAUAAUACUAAUCCCAUAUGGCCUCAAACCUUUGAGUAUAAAUAAAACGCCUUUUAUUUAUCACCAUAUUGAUUACUCAUUAUUUGUCGUUUCGGGUAAUCAACUUUUUACUUGAAUUACAACACUUGUCCCAUGCUCUUAGCAUGCACACAAUGUUUACCUAUGGUUCUUACUUUGUGAAAUAGAUUACAUUGAACACAUUUCCAAUCAUUCUCAUUUCACAACUCCAAAUCCUUUUUCAUAAGUGUGACAAUAUCAAAUUCUUGUUACUUAUAAAAUAUGCUAGAUUCUAACAUUCUANAAAGAAUAUCAAAUUCUUGCUACUUAUAGAAUAUGCUAGAUUCUAACAUUCUAUGCAUGAUCCUUUUUGUAAUGUCACUGCACCAAAGUCACAAAGACUAUUGCCAAUGAUAUUACAAAGUCCUCUAUCGGAGAUUGUUACAAGACAAUUCCAUAGACGUGAUGUCUCUCACUCAAAGUACUUUCUUUGAACAUCCUUUUGCAUAGAAGUUUCUAAUCUAGUCAUAGAUUUCUCAAUAUUCAAUUCCCAAUAUGGACACACUUCCAUAUGUUCCAUAUGACAACUCAUUCUUAAUAGAAUCUUAUCUAUUCGUAAUGAUGUCGAUAUGGUCCAUCCAAUAUGGAAACAUUUCCAUAUUUUCCAAUACUAUACUUCCAACUACUCACAAGCGAC
rnacentral:lncRNA from 1 species